rnacentral:sRNA from 1 species
CAUCAAAUAAGCCCACAGACAAACUCCGUGCCCUGCCUCUGUGGUUGUCUUUACAAUACUUGGGACUUGAUGGGAUUGUGGAGAGGAUCAAGCAUGCCUGUCAACUGAGUCAACGGUUGCAGGAAAGUUUGAAGAAAGUGAAUUACAUCAAAAUCUUGGUGGAAGAUGAGCUCAGCUCCCCAGUGGUGGUGUUCAGAUUUUUCCAGGAAUUACCAGGCUCAGAUCCGGUGUUUAAAGCCGUCCCAGUGCCCAACAUGACACCUUCAGCAGUCGGCCGGGAGAGGCACUCGUGUGACGCGCUGAAUCGCUGGCUGGGAGAACAGCUGAAGCAGCUGGUGCCUGCGAGCGGCCUCACAGUCAUGGAUCUGGAAACUGAGGGCACAUGUUUGCGGUUCAGCCCUUUGAUGACCGCAGCAG